CCUACAGGUGGCUGCAGUGAGGAAUAUUGGUCAAUGGCCGGAAGGCUGAACCAGCCAUGCCGCGUGAAGGUCAGUGCCCUAUGGGCGUUAAACUUCUUUUGUGCGGGAGCAAUAAUGGUCACGUGUGGCCAGACGAGAGUACCGUACGAAUAAGCAUCGGCUAACUCCGUUCCAACAGCCGCGGUGAUACGGGGGAUGCAAGCGUUAUCCGGAUUUAUUGGGUUUAAAGGGUGCGUAGGCUGGGAGGUAAGUCAGCGGUGAAAUGCCCCCGCUCAACGGGGUGAAGUGCCAUUGAUACUGCCUUGCUGGAAUGCGGAUGCCGUGGGAGGAAGGUGUGGUGUAGCGGUGAAAUGCAUAGAUAUCACACAGAACACCGAUUGCGAAGGCAUCUCACGAAUCCGCGAUUGACGCUGAUGCACGAAAGCGUGGGUAUCAAACAGGAUUAGAUACCCUGGUAGUC
rnacentral:rRNA from 1 species